GAGGUUGUGUCUUUCUAGGACAGUAGGGACUGGAGAAGGCUGCAGGGUUAGGGGUAGUGGUGAUCUGGAUGGCACCUGUUCUCAUCUCAGCUUGGGGUGAUGGGUGAGGCUGUCUGGGACCUGUUUCAUCAGGGACAAGGUCUCCCCAGAGGGCUCUGGACUCCUCCACUUCCCGUCUGCUCUCUGAUUUCACCUGUAUCACCUGCUAACCAGGGAUCAGAAGCUCGUUUGCUCAGGGUUGCGAGGAGGAGCGAACAGAAGGUGAUGCCUGGUGCCGGUGGUACAGGUGUUUGCAAAUGCAAGCUUUGCUGCUGCGUCUUGCAGGUUAAAGGCUGGGUGGGUGACAGGAGAUGGGACAGCAAUGGGGCGUUCAGUCUGAAAUCAGAGCCCAGGCCUCCAGUACAGCCUCUGCCUCACUUUGCUUUUUCUGCCCUGGCAGAUGAGUCUUCCCUUUAAAAAGCCUGUCCUCUGACCCAACCUCAGGCUUAACUAGAGGGAAAGGAGCUCUUGAGAGUGUUUUGAGGGGUACGUCCAGCCCCAAACACCCCAUUUGUAAAUCUCAGCUGUGAAGUCAGACCUGGCUGAGGCUACAAAGGCCAGGUUCCUGGAUGGUUCAUUCUCACCAGCAAGCGAAGCACCACGGCGGCCUCAAAGCCGCAAGAGGUUGCCUUUAAAAAGUGAAGGUUCACUGGCGCUGUCCUCAUACUCCUCCCACCACACCACAGCCUCUUGCCCUCACUCUACCUCCCCCACACCUGCCCUGAACCCUGGGCAGACAGAGCGAUCAGCUGUAAAAGGGUUAAAGUAGCUACCCACCCCACCAUCUGGGACUCCUGGGAAGGUGGGGUCUGAUCUUUACCUCCCCAUGCCAGGUGCUUUGGGGGUCUGAGCAGAAAGUAUCUGUGGAAGGAAUGAAUGAAUGAAUGAAUGGCAUCAAAAACUCUGAGUUAAGUUUAGUUUUUAAAAAUCUCUUCCACCCCGCUCUCCUGCCAGCAAGCAGCCUGCUAGCUGAUCCCACUCCCCAGACCCCCGCGCCACUUACCACAAUCACAGAGUGCAGGCAUCACCUGCUGAGAAGUGACUCCUAAUUCUCUGUAUGACCUUUGUGAAGGAAACCAACCAGUGUCCCAAGGGUGUGCUGGGAAAUGUUGGAAAACCUUCUCCCUCGAAGGAGGAAGGGCCCUGAUUGGUAGUUCUUGCUAAUUUCCAUAGCGUAAAUUCUCCCGCCAUGGUCAAUUUCAAGCCUGAGACAAUUUCAGGGCAUGAAAUGGCUGGGCACAGAGUCAGGGAAGGAUGCACGUAACUAGGUCCCUGGGCCUGUGAGAACCAGCUCUUCAGUCUACCGCCGAGGGUCUCCCCCUCCCCAGACCUAGGUUUGGGGAGCUAGCCUCAUAGGCUUUGAUGCGGGGAAGGAGGGCAACGUCUGGUUUAGGAGAAAGGGAUGUUCUUGCCUUCUUCACUCAACUCAAGAGAGAGCCCCAACGGCCAAGCCUGAAAUACUGUUGAGUUAAAGGAUGUGAGUUGCGUCUCAGAAGGAGCUCUGUGGUGGCGAAGCCUUGUGUCAAGGCAGAGGUGGGGCCAGCUCUGAGAUGUCAGGGGAAAGAAGCAACACAUUUGGAUGACCCACAGGAUGUGGGAAAGUAAGGAUUCCCAACGCACCCCACAGAGGUCCCUGUACACAGAGGGCUCAUCAGAAAUGUAACGGGACACGUCAUGAGAGUUCUGUUCAAAUCUCUUAGCAGCUGUGUGACCCCAGGCAAGUGGCUUAACCUCUCUGGGCCUCUAUUUUUGGGAAUAUAGUAUGAACAUCGAAAGACAUGGCUCACAGGAUGUUACAAGGGAGAGAAACACGAAGACUAAGGGGGAAAAACAAAAGAGGGGUUAGGAGUGUGGUUUCUGGAGAUGGAAGGAUUCAAAGCCCAGGUCCACUACCAGCUCACUGUGAGACUCUGGGGAAGUUACUAGUCUCUCUGUGCUUCAGUUUCCUCAGUGCCAAAUGGGGAUAAAAGGAGUACCUAUGUCAGGGCUUCUGUGAGAAUGAAAUUAUCAGACCUGGGAAGGGUUUGGUGCGGUUCAGAGAGAUCUGAAUGAUAUCACUGGAUAAAGCAGUUGAUAUCACAACUGAUUGACUGUAGGGUUCAACCAGCAGUUGUCCAGGCCUGACUUCUGCCUGAAAAAGGCCCCCCCCAAGUCCUCCCACCUUCUCUCCAAAUUUCCUUACUGCGUCUCUGCAUCUUCUCUGCCCUUCUCCACUGCCUUCUCUCCACCAAGCCCCCACCC